CCUGCAUGCAUGUCACGUCAUGCUUGCGCAUUGUAUGCUCGUCACAUUGCGCGCACACAUGUGUAGCACAUCCCAUCACAGCGCGCACCUAUGCAUGUCGCAUUGCACGCUUGUGUACCUACGCAUAUCGCGUUCACCAGCCAUGUGCAUGUUGCAUGCCUACUGCGCCUGCCAUAUGCCUGUUGGCUAGUUGUCCCAUCACAUGUUGUAGCUGCCCGCUCGUCUCAUUUGCCUGGCACA
rnacentral:lncRNA from 1 species